UCAACCACUUGAAGUAGGAGGAUAAUUUCUUUUUCUAUUUUCUUGUUUCCUUCUUCCAUUCUUACCUCAAAUUUCACCACCAACCUUGCUCUUUCUUAAAUUCCAUUCUAAAAACCUCUACUCCAGCUAGUUUCCUUCAUCAUUUUCUUCCAACCACAACUUAAAAGUUUGUUGGGUAGAGUGAGAAAGCUUGAUUAUGAGUAAGAGAAAUGAUUUUUCCAUCAUCUCAUCAUGUUUAAAUUGAUUUUUUAUUUGCUUAGAAAGUAGUUAAGCCAUAUUAAUGGCUAUUUAUUAUUAUUAAUAUAAGUAUUUAUCGUCUAAUAAAGAGAAAGAAGUAGAGAGAGGGACUACAAGCAAUGUAAGGGAAAGCUUGUAGAUUGAGGAGACUUUUCUCUUAUUUUGGUAUAUUAAUGGUAAUUUCUUGUGGAAAUUUCAAGUUUCUUUGUUUAAAUGUGUUGUGUGCUUGAAUGGGUGAAUAUAAAUUAGCAUAUUAAUUCAUAAUGGUAAUUUUUAAUGUUGGCCAAGUGUAAAGAGUGUUGAAAUGGAGCUAUAGUUAAACUAAUGAGUUAUCAAACAUUUUAUAUUGUUUUGCAGUGAUAUGUAUGACUAGUGGACAUAAUUUCCAUGAUUGAAGUUUCAUGAAGUGGUGAUAACUAUGGUUGUGAUCAUUGAAAUUGUAUAUCAAUAAAAGUGUUAUGAAAUAGUUAAUGUGAUUUUUAAAAAAAAUGAAUUGAGAAUCUUAUAAUGCCUUUGUAAACUUAGUUAAAUAGCUAGGAUAUGGUUGACAUGUCAAUAAGGUAUGCAUAUGUUAGAAGAUGCAGUUUGAAACUAUGAUUGAUGCCAUAAGGCAAGUGUAUAUAGAUCCAUUUCUAUAGUAUUCAAAUGAUAACGCUUUUAGCAUAGUAUUUCAGAGAGUUUGGUUGGUUUGCCCCAAAUAUAUGAAAUUUGUUUUGCUAAGCUUACUAAGGACAACAAAAAUAAAAAUAUUGAAAAUGGAUUAUUCGGAGUAAAUUGAAUGUUAUAUGUCACUAUGAUAAAUACCAUAUUUUAUUAGUUCUUAUACCAUGGAUGGUAUUAAUGUAAUUGCAUAAAUAAUUAGAUUUGUUACCUUUAUAUGAGAAUUUUUUUUUUUUUUUUACAAUUCCUCCUCAUUUAUGCAAUCAUUAUCAAAGAGUUAAACUUUACACAUUGACCAAAAACAUGGUGGGAUGAGGUAAGUGUUUGUGAUUUCCAUUUGAACUUACUAAGUUGGUGCUUAUGCGUCGUUUUUGCGCGUAGAUUUUACAUGAAGGUUUUUUGGCUCACCCUAACCCUUGGGACAUCGCACCAUUGUGGGGCUAGAAUACUAGGAAAUUAGUUUAUAUAUGACUAGUGGCUAAAAUGGAACGUACUAAGGAGUCUAUUUCAUUUAUAUAUAUACUAGUUUCAUUACUUAAAAGUCUUGCUUUGAAGUGUAAUUUUUAAAAUUUGAUCCUUGAAGCAUGAUGUGUUGGCCAUAUAUUUUAAUUAGUGGCCUUAGCUUGAACUUAUUAACAUAUGUUCAUCUUGGUUUUAUGCUUUUGUUUUGCCAAAUGAAUGGUGGUAUACUGAAUAAUUUUUUGUAUUCAUUCAUCUUACUUCCAAAUGAAUGGUUUUAUGCUUCUUUUUUU
rnacentral:lncRNA from 1 species